CCUCCCUCCCCCGACCGAGUGAAAAUGAACGCAAGAUACAUCUCUUUCCCUAGAAGAGAUUGGCAUUGGUCUGGUUUCCCCCAGAGAAUCGUCCGGCCGUUGUCACAGGAGGGUCAACACAGAGGUCCAUCUGUGGAAUGUGGGCAAUCAUCUGCAAGUUGAGAACAGAGGUCAAGGCAUCAAAUAAAGUGGUACAUCAUCAUUUCAAAUAUCCUGUGAAGCAGCACUGUUACUGUCCCUAUUUUCAGCCGAGGACACAGGCACGCUGAAUACGGAGUUGGCCAGCUGGGAUUCCAACUCAGGUGGUCUGGCUCCAGGGUCUUCGCUCUUAAUGCUGCAUGACAUUGGCCCUCAAUUAAGGAGCAUGGAUCUUUACAAGUAUGCAGAUGCAUUGCAAUAGGUGCCCUCUCCAGUCCUGGGACUCAGGAGCCCUGUGUGACGUGCAAGGCAUUCUGAAGUAAGGCCGGACGUUUCCCCAAGGAGAGGGUUCCCGGUGGGGCCUCUGCUCUUUGUGGACUUCCAGCGUUAGGAAACACACUGCGGUUUCCCAGGUGUGCUGUGUUAAAUGCAGCAAGACAUUGGAUUAUCUGUUUUGAACGAAAGCAUCCCUUACAACAUGAGCACGAGGCUUAAGGAGAUGUCCGCAAAGAGACCAGCAUUUAAAGAUAAUACUUAGAGUGCGCGCCCAAGCAAGCUGUGAGCAAGUGGCAGGAUUGGUACAUCAGCUGCUCCUGACACGAACCCCUCAGCUGUCGCAAGGUAAAUACAGUGACAGUGGCAUCAGAUCUUGGAAGUCAGUCACAGAAACACAAGUCUACAUCAGCAAAAGGAGAUGUGCAAGUGCAUGCACUGUUUUUCACCCUGUGCCAUGCCUUGAAGUGGUAGCCAACAGAAUGAUACCAGUUUCUAACUUAUAAAUACAUGAGAUGUAUAUUGUGGCAUCUGCCUUGAAUUUCCCUGAUAAAAGGUGCACAAUGAAAAGUCUGGAGCCUCUAGAGUUUUAAAAAGAAUCUGUGGCUUCUGCCUGCCUGGAUUAUCACUGUUCAUUCGGGCCCUGCUCUAUGUGUCUCCUGCCUACUUAGAAGAACAUCCUUUCUGAAGAGUUGAAAAUCAGGACAUGAAAAGGAUUUUGUAAGGAAAAUAAAAGCCAUUGAUUGAAACAGAGUCAUGCUGGGGAGACUGAACUUUGAGGGGACCUGGGCCCCAUAUGCCUUUGUUUAUCAUUACCUGUGGGAAGGCUGUCCCCACCUUCAAUUCUUUGUUUGAAAAUAUUUAAAUUUUUUUCAAAUAUAUCCUUCUAUCAGCACAUAAUUGCACUGAACCUAGUUAAUAAAAUUCUGAAAAAUUGGGAA